UACGUAGGAGGCGAGCGUUGUCCGGAAUUACUGGGUGUAAAGCGCGUGUAGGCGGUGAGUUAAGUCUGUUGUGAAAGCGCCCGGCUCAACCGGGCAGAGUCAAUGGAAACUAGCGCACUGGAGGUCGGUAGAGGCGAGUGGAAUUCCCGGUGUAGUGGUGAAAUGCGUAGAGAUCGGGAGGAACACCAGUGGCGAAGGCGGCUCGCUGGGCCGGACCUGACGCUGAGACGCGAAGGCGUGGGGAGCGAACGGGG
rnacentral:rRNA from 1 species